rnacentral:rRNA from 1 species
AUUGAACGCUGGCGGCAUGCCUUACACAUGCAAGUCGAACGGUGAGGUAGAGCUUGCUCUAUGGAUCAGUGGCGAACGGGUGAGUAACACGUGGGCAACCUGCCCCAGACUCUGGGAUAACUCCUCGAAAGAGGGGCUAAUACCGGAUAUUUGCAUUGCAAGACAUCUUGUGAUGCAGAAAGAAUUUCGGUCUGGGAUGGGCCCGCGGCCUAUCAGCUUGUUGGUGAGGUAACGGCUCACCAAGGCGACGACGGGUAGCCGGCCUGAGAGGGCAACCGGCCACACUGGGACUGAGACACGGCCCAGACUCCUACGGGAGGCAGCAGUGGGGAAUAUUGGGCAAUGGGCGCAAGCCUGACCCAGCAACGCCGCGUGAGGGAUGAAGGUCCUCGGAUUGUAAACCUCUUUCAGCAGGGACGAAGCGAAAGUGACGGUACCUGCAGAAGAAGCACCGGCUAACUACGUGCCAGCAGCCGCGGUAACAC